GGAGCUGUAGUCCAGUGGUAGGGCAUCUGCUUUGUAUGCUGACUAGCUGACAAAAAGAAAGAAAAAGGGAUUUCAGUGACUGUCUUUCUAUGCAUAAAGACCCUGGUUGAAUCCCCAGCACCUCCA